AGAGUUUGAUCAUGGCUCAGGACGAACGCUGGCGGCGUGCUUAAUACAUGCAAGUCGAGCGAAGGAUAGGCCUCAAGUCUUCGGAUGCGAAGCCUAUCACUGAGCGGCGAACGGGUGAGUAACGCGUGGGCAACCUGCCCCCCAGACUGGGAUAACAGCUCGAAAGGGCUGCUAAUACCGGAUACGCCUCAAAUUCCGCAUGGGAUUUGAGUGAAAGCGCUUAGCGCUGGGGGAUGGGCCCGCGUCCCAUUAGCUAGUUGGUGAGGUAACGGCUCACCAAGGCGACGAUGGGUAGCCGGCCUGAGAGGGUGGACGGCCACACUGGGACUGAGACACGGCCCAGACUCCUACGGGAGGCAGCAGUAGGGAAUAUUGCGCAAUGGGGGGAACCCUGACGCAGCGACGCCGCGUGAGCGACGAAGGCCUUCGGGUCGUAAAGCUCUGUCCUAUGGGACGAAGAGGACGGUACCAUAGGAGGAAGCCCCGGCUAACUACGUGCCAGCAGCCGCGGUAAU
rnacentral:rRNA from 1 species